UGUCCUCCAUGGAAGUACGAUGUCUUUCUAAGUUUCAGAGGAGAUGAUACCCGGAAUAACUUUACAAGUCACUUGAACAAAGGUUUGGAAAAUAGGGGAAUAGCCACCUUUCUAGACGAUGAAAGACUAGAGGAUGGCGAUUCCAUCUCAGAAGAACUCAUGCAAGCGAUAGAAGAGUCUCAAGUUGCCAGAAUCGUUUUCUCAAAGAAUUAUGCUAAGUCAAGUUGGUGCUUGAAUGAAAUAGUGAAGAUUAUGGAAUGCAAGGAGAAAGAAAAUAGACAAACAGUUAUACCGAUCUUCUAUUAUGUGAAUCCAUCACAUGUUCGAUACCAAAGUGAGAGCUUUGCAGAAGCUUUUGCCAAACACGAAUCGAGGUAUAAGGAUGAUGUUGAGGGGAUGCAGAAGGUUCAAGGAUGGAGGAAUGCCCUAACUGCUGCUGCAGAUCUAAAAGGACAUGAUAUUCAUGACGGGUGAGUUGGAAACAAAUAAUUGCUUUUGAUGAAAAAAAAAUAACAAUAUGUUUCUAUAUAUUAUCCUGAACUAUAAUGUUUCCUAUUUAAUACGCUCUUGAACAAUAAAAUUAUGAAAUUACUUUCUAAUACUUGACUUCCUCACAUUGUCAACAAUCAAUCUUUAAUUUAUGUAGGAUUAAUCAAUCAAAGAAAAUUGAUCAGAUCGUCGACCACAUCUGUUCCAAACUUUGCAAGAGUGCUCGUUUUUUUUCUGAUUUGCAAGAUGUUGUGGGAAUAAAUUCUCAUUUAGAGGAUCUAAAAUCCCUACUUCAAAUAGAAAUCAAUAAUGUUCGGAUUGUAGGAAUCUGGGGAACAGGUGGAAUCGGUAAAACAACAAUAGCAAAUGCCAUCUUUGAUACUCUAUCCAAUCAAUUUGAAGCAGCUUGUUUUCUUGCGAAUGUUAAAGAAAAUGCAAAAAAGAAUCAACUGCAUUCUUUACAAAAUACCCUUCUGUCUGUACUAUUAAGAAAAAAAGAUGAUUACGUUAGUAAUGGUUAUGAUGGGAAGCGCAUGAUUAAGAGCAGACUUUCUUCUAUGAAGGUGUUGAUUGUGCUUGAUGACAUAGAUCAUGGUGAUCAUUUGGAGUAUUUAGCAGGUGAUGUUGAUUGGUUUGGUAAUGGUAGCAAAGUUGUUGUAACAACUAGAAACAGAAAAUUGAUAGAGAAUAAUGAUGCAAUAUAUAAAGUGCCUACACUACCUGAUGAUGAAGCUAUGAAAUUGUUCAAUCAACAUGCUUUCAAAAAAGAAGUUCCAGAUGAGUGUUUUAAGAAGUUCUCAUUGGAGGUAGUAAAUCAGGCUAAAGGGCUUCCUUUAGCCCUCAAGGUGUGGGGUUCUUUGCUGCAUAAGAAAGGCAUAGAUAAGUGGAAAAGAAUUGUAGACCAAAUAAAGAAAAACUCUAAUUCAGAAAUUUUUGAAAAACUCAAAAUAAGUUAUGAUGGAUUGGAGCCCGAAGAGCAAACGAUAUUUCUAGAUAUCGCAUGUUUCUUCCGAGGAGAUGAAAGAAAAGAAGUCAUGCAAAUUGUUGAGAGCUAUGAUUCUAGAGUUGAAUACAUAUUGGAUGUCCUAAUUGACAAAUCCUUUGUGUUCAUCUCUAAAUAUGAUAGAAUUGAAAUGCAUGACUUGAUUGAAGAUAUGGGCAAAUACAUAGUGAAAAUGCAAAAAGAUUCCGGAAAACCUAGCAGAAUAUGGAAUGCUGAAGAUUUCGAAGAUGUGAUGACUGACAAUAUGGUAAGUAAGCUAAACAAUGCAAUAGUAUUCACAUUUCAAAGAUAUAUAUAUACUCUGUUCCUCUAGCUUCAUAUACUGACGCACAAGUCAUUUAAGUUGUUUCAAAUCCACACUACCUAGUUUGUUUAUCUCAUGUUAAUAAGUUAUGAAUAACCACUUAAUAUAUUUAAUCCUAUAUCACUCUUUGGAUUAACUUGAAAGUUAUACAAUAUUUAAUUUGUUCAUACUAAUUUAAUCAAUAAUUUUUUAAAAGCUAAUAUCACCAUUUAUUUACCCCAAGUAAUUUUUAUUAGUAAAAAUUCAGAAAUGAAAAAAUAAAAUUUAGGAGGGCCAAAAACUUAAUUACCUUACUAAUUCACUUGAUCAUUAUUAAUUUUAUUUUCAUUUAUAAGAUUACAGUUAUUGACACUAUUUCAGUUACCAUUUUUGUUUUAUGAGAGCAUGGAAAACUUUUUAACUUUUGUCUAAUAAACUUCUCCAAAAGGCAAAAAUGUAUCAGUAAAAAAUAAAAUUAGCUACGCAAAGCAUUUCUCUUAACUAAUAUUGUACCUUAAAUUUUAUUUGAUGGUGCUGGCUCUUCAAGUACAAUGACAAAAAUUAGGGGUAGAGUAAGAAAACAAUGAUAUUGAUAUGUGGAUUGUACAUGAUAAGUUGAUUCAUGAUCUUUUUAUAGGGGACAAGGGCAAUGGAAGCAAUCUGGUUUAGUUAUUCUGAAAAACUAUGCUUUAGCAAAGAGGCAAUGAAAAAUAUGCAAAGGCUUAGGAUAUUAAGCAUAUUUCCUAAAGACGGAUCUUAUAGGACACCCUACUUCAUUAAAACCGACUCCAAUUGCCCUGAUGGCUCCAUUGAGUACCUGCCCAACAACUUGCGUUGGUUUGCCUGGUUUGAUUAUCCUUGGAAGUUAUUGCCAGAAAAUUUUAAUUCCAGAAGGCUUGUUCAUCUUGAUCUCCGAUGGAGUUCAUUGCAUUAUUUAUGGAAUGAAACAAAGGUACCAUUCUAUUUCAGAUACUUCCUAUUUUUAAUUGUCCUAGAAUUAUAUAUGAUUCUUGCGUUUAAAUAAAAUAUGUUAUUUAUUCCAUACACUCAAACUAAUGUAUUUCAUCAUUCUUUCUGUGUUUUGAAUAGCUGCCGCAAUUUCCUUCUCUACAAAGGAUAGAUCUAUGUGGCUCUAAAAGUCUGAAGAGAACAGCAGAUUUUGAGGGGAUGCCAAAUUUGGAGUAUUUGGAUCUUUGUGGAUGUUCGAGUCUUGAAGAAGUUCAUCCUUCCCUCAAGCAUUGCAAAAAACUUAUCCAGUUAAAUCUGUCUGAUUGUACAAAACUUGAGAGGUUUCCAUAUGUUAAUGUGGAAUCUCUGACUCUAGAAUACUGCUCUAGUUUAGAGAAAUUUCCAGAAAUCCUUGGAAUAAGGGAACUGCCAUUAUCUUUGAAUGGCAUGGAAAACCUUGUAUCUCUUCCAAGCAGCAUUUGUAAGUCGAAAGGUUUGGUGAAACUAUCUGUGUCGAAUUGCUCAAAACUUGAAAGCUUGCCAGAAGAGAUAGGUGAUUUGGAAAACUUAGAGUAUCUUAAUGCCGACUGUACUCUAAUCUCACAACCUCCGUCUUGCAUCGUCCGGUUGAACAAGCUUAAAAGUUUGAGUUUUGGACAACAUAGAUCAGAAGAUGGAGUGUACUUUGUGUUCCCUCUGGUGAAUAAAGGGUUACUCUCAUUGGAAUAUCUGGAUCUCAGUUACUGCAAUUUAAAAGAUGGAGGACUUCCAGAAGACAUUGGAUCCUUAUCCUCUUUGAAAGAGUUGAAUCUCAGUGGAAAUAAUUUUGAGCAUUUGCCUCAAAGCAUAUCUGAACUUGGUGCUCUUCGAUGCUUGAUCUUAUCAGAUUGCGAGAAGCUUACACAGCUGCCAGAAUUUCCACAGCAAUUAGAUACAAUAUAUGCAGAUUGGAGCAACGAUUGGAUCUGUAAUUCGUUGUUUCAGAUUAUGUCAUCAUUGCAGCAUGACAUCUGUUCUUCACAUUCCUUGUCACUAAGAGUGUUUGUGAGUUGGGUGGUGGAUAUCCCAAGUUGGUUCAAGUAUCAGGGAAUGGGCACAAGUGUAUCAGUCAAUUUGCCUAAGAAUUGGUAUGUAAGUGAUAACUUCUUGGGAUUUGCUGUAUGUUAUUUUGGCAAACUAAUUGAUUGCAUCACAGCUCAUUUGAUUCCCUUAUCAUGUGAUGAUGGGAUGUCGUCAAUGACCCACGAAUUUGCCUUAUCCAACAAUUCACAAUAUUCUGAUGAAUGGAAUAUGAAAUUUUUGUUGGUACCUCUUGGUGGCUUAUGGGAUGCAUCUAAUGCAAAUGAAAAAACACCAAAUGACUAUGGGUGCAUUAAGUUAGAUUUUAUUGGAGAAAGAGAUGAUGAUUUUGGAAAAGAAAAGAAAAUUGGAGUUCGUUUGUUGUAUAAAAAUGAAUCUGAGCUUUGCAUUGGGAUAAUGAAGAGCAGAUAUGAAGAAGAGGCCACUUGCUCCUCUCCUAAGAAACUCUUGCAGCUCUUUCCCACAAGCCCGGGAUUAUAGAUUAAAUAUAGGUAUAUACCUCAUGAAAUUGUGUUCUCUGUUUAUAUAUAAAUUAUUUCUUCUCAUUCUUUCUUCUAUUGGCAAUCAGUAAUCAGCAGCGAGUUUGGGGACACUGCCUAUGAAGGGAACAUGCACGUACAAUUCAUUCUUUUUAUAUUUCAUUUUGAAAUAUAAUCACAUUUUCCAUUUCCUGACAAAUAGAUAAAUUGCAGAUGGAUGAAAGAAGCUUUCGAAUCCAAUAAUUUCUCCCCAACCAUCAAGUUCUACUGAAGUUGCAUAGUCUCCAUUGAUAUCUACUGUAAAAUGUUACAUUCUUAUUCUAUUUUAAUAAGUGCAAGAAACACAUUUGAUUAAUAAUGUAAUCUAAUUAGCAAAGAAACACUGCUAUAUAAUUGAACCCCUUCCUAUUCUCAUUUCUUGUUCAAUGUAUUGCCAACGUCGAGCAUGAAACGAUAUUUCACGUCCAAUUUCAGAAGACGUUCCAACGCUGUGUUAACGUAGUCCAUUGGCACGACUUCAAUAUCUGGUGUUAUGUUAUGCUUUGCAGCGAAAUCCAAUCACAUUUCUCGAGUUUCUUUCAUCCCUCCUAUGCAACUUCCAGCCACUAGCUUCCUUCCUGUUUUUCACAUUAUUAUAUAUACAAACUUUAGUAAAGACUGUUUGAUGCACUAAGCUUUCACUAUGUGCGGGAAGAGCUACAUUAUAUAUACUUUAAUCUAAACUUUAUUCUUGAAAUCGUGCAUAAAAAAUUAUUGUCCGAUGCUUACCCAUAAGAAGUGGAAACACGGGAAACUCCACCGGUUUUUCUGGUGCACCAACCAUAACAAGCUUACCAUGAGAUUUCAUCAACAUAAGCAAUGGAAGAAUAGGGUGCACCACAGAAACAGUGUCGAUAAUCCCAUCCAAUGUGUUCAUUGCAGCCUGUUCGUCUAUAAUAAAUAAUACAAAUAAACAAAAGGUUAGCCCCCAUUCUCGUGUUUAAAUUGCUAAACUUUAGUUUUUCUUUUCAGACAAUUAAUUGAAUCUAUGGCAUCAUCUUCUUCUGCGAGUAAUUCACAAUACUGUCCUCCAUGGAAGUACGAUGUCUUUCUAAGUUUCAGAGGAGAUGAUACCCGGAAUAACUUUACAAGUCACUUGAACAAAGGUUUGGAAAAUAGGGGAAUAGCCACCUUUCUAGACGAUGAAAGACUAGAGGAUGGCGAUUCCAUCUCAGAAGAACUUGUGCAAGCAAUAGAAGAGUCUCAAGUUGCCGUAAUCAUUUUCUCAAUGAAUUAUGCUAAGUCAAGUUGGUGCUUGAAUGAAAUAGUGAAGAUUAUGGAAUGCAAGGAGAAAGAAAACAGACAAACAGUUAUUCCGAUCUUCUAUUAUGUGGAUCCAUCACAUGUUCGAUACCAAAGUGAGAGCUUU
rnacentral:lncRNA from 1 species